rnacentral:rRNA from 16 species
ACGACCAUAUCACGUUGAAUACACGCCAUCCCGUCCGAUCUGGCAAGUUAAGCAACGUUGAGUCCAGUUAGUACUUGGA